CAGGGCUUGACAUACAGUUGAAUAUACCAGAGAUGGUAUAGUCCUUCGGGACAGCUGUACAGGUGGUGCAUGGUUGUCGUCAGCUCGUGUCGUGAGAUGUUGGGUUAAGUCCCGCAACGAGCGCAACCCUUGUCCCUAGUUGCUACGCAAGGGCACUCUAGGGAGACUGCCGGUGACAAACCGGAGGAAGGUGGGGAUGACGUCAAGUCCUCAUGGCCCUUAUGGGUAGGGCUUCACACGUCAUACAAUGGCCGGUACAGAGGGUUGCCAAAGCGCGAGCUGGAGCCAAUCCCAGAAAGCCGGUCGUAGUCCGGAUUGCAGUCUGCAACUCGACUGCAUGAAGUCGGAAUCGCUAGUAAUCGCGGAUCAGCAUGCCGCGGUGAAUACGUUCCCGGGUCUUGUACACACCGCCCGUCACACCAUGGGAGUGGGGUGAACCAGAAGUAGGUAGGCUAACCGCAAGGGGGCCGCUUACCACGGUCUGCUUCAUGACUGGGGUG
rnacentral:rRNA from 1 species